rnacentral:rRNA from 1 species
UACGGAGGGUGCGAGCGUUAUCCGGAAUUACUGGGUUUAAAGGGUGCGUAGGCGGCUUGGUAAGUCAGGAGUGAAAGUUUGCGGCUCAACCGUAAAAUUGCUUUUGAUACUGCCGGGCUGGAAUUAGGAUGAGGUCAGCGGAAUGUGGCAUGUAGCGGUGAAAUGCAUAGAUAUGUCUCAGAACACCCGAUUGCGAAGGCAGCUUACUAUGGUUUUAUUGACGCUGAGGCACGAAAGCGUGGGGAUCAAACAGG